rnacentral:rRNA from 1 species
AUACGUAGGAGGCGGGCGUUGUCCGGAAUGACUGGGCGUAAAGGGCGUGUAGGCGGCGGUGUAAGUCUGGAGUGAAAGUCCCGCAUUCAAUGUGGGAAUUGCUUUGGAUACUGCAGUGCUAGAGUGCGGAAGAGGUAAGUGGAAUUCCCAGUGUAGCGGUGAAAUGCGUAGAGAUUGGGAGGAACACCAGUGGCGAAGGCGACUUACUGGGCCGUAACUGACGCUGAGGCGCGAAAGCGUGGGGAGCGAACAGGAUUAGAUACCCUGGUAGUCCACGCGGUAAACGAUGAAUGCUAGGUGUUGCGGGUAUCGACCCCUGCAGUGCCGGAGUAAACACAAUAAGCAUUCCGCCUGGGGAGUACGGCCGCAAGGUUGAAACUCAAAUGAAUUGACGGGG